AUACGGAGGUUGCAAGCGUUAUUCGGAAUCACUGGGCGUAAAGGACGCGUAGGCGGGUUGGCAAGUCAGAUGUGAAAUCCUACAGCUUAACUGUAGAACUGCAUUUGAAACUGCUAACCUAGAGUAUGGGAGGGGGAGAUGGAAUUAGUGGUGUAGGGGUAAAAUCCGUAGAUAUCACUAGGAAUACCGAAAGCGAAGGCGAUCUCCUGGAACAUAACUGACGCUAAGGCGUGAAAGCGUGGGGAGCAGACAGGAUUAGAAACCCUUGUAGUCC
rnacentral:rRNA from 1 species